CUUUUUGUGACAGCAUUUCUGAGGAGUUGUUGAUACCGUGCUCACGCGCACAGCACGCAGCGAAUUUACCCGUCUGACAUGAAAUUCAAUCUAGGGUUAGAACAACAACAGCGUAUCGCAAUUUCUGUAGUUUCGAGCAAGUUGUUAUUGUUGUUGUUCUACGGGGGCCAUGUUUCACGUUAUGCGUAACGCCGUGUCCGCCGUUCCGGCCAACCAACGUUUCCCGACGUCAAGCGUUCGAUGACCGCUUGUUACCCCUUUCGUUCAAGCUUCGCGGAACCAAACGGCGUCCGUCAAUGUGCCCCAGGAGCACCGAAAUAAGGUAUCAACGUAAUGACUAUUUACUAUAAACUAUGUAUGAUAUGGCGUUUGAGACUAUGUCCUCCAACAUGGCAACCAGUGCAAAACCUCUUAGAGUGACUACUUCUUACAAACGAAAUGAAUUGAAACUGGUAAAGGUAGCAAUACGAAGACACAAAAUUAAAGCUGUUGCCAAUUCGCAGCCCCUAGAAAGGAUUGUGGAGAACCCUUUUGCAAUAACAACCCUUGUGAAUAUCUCUGAUGGUUCCUUUGGGGUGAAGUUAUUCAACAAAAUCACACCCAAUACAAUUGAAAUACCUGCGGAAGCUUAUUGCAAAAUCAAAUCUACGCCCACUGUACGGGGUACAGCGUCACCGUCAGAGCAGGAGCCAAGUACAUCCAGCCCACGAUCAGCAAGUUGCUCUAGCGAUAAAGAACACCAGCAAGAAGACAGGUGUCGAUCAAGAAGUCGUGAGAAAUUUAAAGCAAAUGAAACGGCACAAGCAGCGAAACAAGUACCAAGUACUGAACGCAACACACACCCUCCCUACGAGAUGGCAGACCGCUAUAAUAAACGAAAGUCAAGGCGAUCGGGUACUAGAUCACCAUCGUUGAGGCGCAGCCGAUAUUCUUACAGCCCCAGCCGACGCCACAGCCCAGAAAAUGGCCGAUACCGCAGCACCAGCAACAGUCCACAGCAUAGAUCUCAAUCAAGAAGUAAUGAGAGGCUCAAAACAAAUGAUUUUUUGUCAGCGAAACAAAAGCGCCGCACACCUGAUCGAGAUCGAGAGAGAUCACGAUCACCAGUCCCACGCACUGAACGGUACGACAGGCGGAAGUCUGGGUGGGCGGACUCACCUGAGUUUUUUGACCGAGGACCUGGAGCGCCUUAUUUUGAUCCGGCUUUAAUACGUGCGCCAAUUUCGUUCUAUCCAGCCAUGCCCCCUUACUACCCACCUGGUAUGCCGCCUGCGUACUUCAAUCAGCCGUUUUUCCCUGCCCAACAUCCUGGUGCUUUCGGGCCGGGAACUUAUCAUCCACGUAAAAGGGGGGCGGUUUACAUGAAUCGAAAGAUUCAAAUUAUCACUAACUCCACAGGUAACACGGGUACAUCGAAGAACACGUUCAUGUCUGAAGGCGAAGCGACGCGAACCAGCAAGGUCGUUAUAUCGGAGAUUACAGCAGCUGGACUUUAUUAUACCAGGAACUUGUAUGAAGCAUUGCGGACUUGAGAUUGGACAUGAACACAAAUUAAUUUAAAAUAUGGUAAUUAGUAUUAAUUUCUUUUGUUUGACAAAAUAAUUUUAGUAUUAAUAAAUUGAUAUAUGACUGAAUACUCCUUUUGCAGGAGUAAAUUUCGAGACAGAUAAUAUGUACUAGUUAUGCCACAAUGCUACUUUGUUGGAAUGUCCGUGUAAAACGUGUCGGUAACUCUUGGGUGACAGAUGUAAUGAAUAGGAUUCAGUGCAUGAACGCUAGGGGUCUAACAACUGAACCCGAUCUUGAAGGCUACCCAUUUGUACAUCUGAUUGGGUUUUACUCCUCAACCCGACGUCCUAGGAGAACCACUCUUGCAUUAGAUUAUGUCUAGGAGUUGAACGUGACCUCGGUGUAUAAUCGUGCCCGCAUUCAAUGGUGAGUAUUGAAAUUCUUAUCAUUUUCAUAUCUGCUUUGUUCACGUAGCCUGCUAUAUCUUUUCCUUGUUUAGUCGAUCGUGCGAUGUUGUUCAGUACACAGAUGUUUUGUUCACAAGUCGAUCUUCGUAACUAGUAUGCGCGUUUCUUGUGAUUUUAAGUCGGUAGUUGAAUUAGAAUCGAUCAGCAAAGGUAACAUUUAGAAUUAACGGACUAGUGCGGCGUGCAGUUAAUGAAUUAUCACGGGUGGAAGUCAGAAUUGUGUAGUUUUACAAUAUGCGCACGUUUUUGCCGUCGGCCGUCGGAUAUCUUACGUCGGCUAAGAAGUCCGUCCCAGUGGUUUUAUUUGCGUAAUGAUAUUAAUUUGUGAAACUAAACACUGUUUGUCCCCGUGUGGAACAUUUUAAUCGAGAAAGUGCACGUAGGUAACUGCAACAUUAACAUUCGACGAAUUAAACAAUUAGUGAAGAUGUUUCAUGGACGAAAGGAAUUUAUCAGACGUUAAGGAAAAGCGAGGUAACCGUUGAAUAAGUAAAUACUCUGAAAAUAAUUCAAUUUUAACAAAUAAUUUAAUAAUUCAACAUGUACCCUUUUGAUUGUACGAGUUGCAAUAAACUAUUCUCUUAAUAUUA